rnacentral:lncRNA from 1 species
AUACAAUGUAUAUUUCCUUCUCUUCCCACCUAGUUUGGAUCUCAUUAUUACCAAAAAGGAAACAUUGGUUGCUGAGGCAGAAAAGAAAGCAAGCUUGGAAAGAAGCAACUGCUAACAUGUUCCAACUAAAGUGAGGAGCAUAGAUUUAGAGCUGGAAGGGACCUUGGAGGGCAUGGAGCCCAAUCCAACCACUUCACAUGGGAGAAAAUGGAAACUCAUCAAGAGGGCAGUCAUCCAACGUUUGCUUGAAGACCUCCCAUGAGAAAGAAGCCACUGUUGCCUGCAGUACCCCAUUCCCCUUCUGGAGCCCUCGAAUCCAUAGGAAGCACUGCCUUACAGGAAGCCUAAAUCUGCCUCUUUGUAAUGUUUUUUCUCUUGGUCCUUAUUCGGUACUCAAGGGGCCA